rnacentral:rRNA from 1 species
AUUGAACGCUGGCGGCAGGCCUAACACAUGCAAGUCGAGCGAGCGGCGGACGGGUGAGUAAUGUAUGGGGACUGCCCGAUAGAGGGGGAUAACUACUGGAAACGGUAGCUAAUACCGCAUACUAUCGGAUAACCCAUAUGGGAUUAGCUAGUAGGUGAGGUAAUGGCUCACCAAGGCAACGAUCCGUAGCUGGUUUGAGAGGACGACCAGCCACACUGGGACUGAGACACGGCCCAGACUCCUACGGAGGCAGCAGUGGGGAAUUUUGGACAAUGGGGGAAACCCUGAUCCAGCCAGCCCGCGUGUAUGAAGAAGGCCCUAGGGUUGUAAAGUACUUUCAGUCGGGAGGCGUUACCGACAGAAGAAGCACCGGCUAACUCCGUGCCAGCCGCCGCGGUAAUUC